rnacentral:ncRNA from 2 species
ACAAUUACAGGAAAUGGUGUCUUCCUGCGGAAACCGCCUUAACACGGCUGAUGGCGCCUAUUAGGAU